UACGUAGGUGGCAAGCGAUACUCGGAAUCACUAGGCGUAAAGCGCAGGUAGGCGGUGUGAUAAGUCUCUUGUGAAAGCUCCCGGCUUAACUGGGAGAGGUCAAGGGAAACUGUCAUGCUAGAGUGUGGCAGAGGAAGCUAGAAUUCCCGGUGUAGCGGUGAAAUGCGUAGAUAUCGGGAGGAAUACCUAUGGCGAAAGCAGGCUUCUGGGCCGUCACUGACGCUGAUCUGCGAAAGCUAGGGGAGCAAACAGG
rnacentral:rRNA from 1 species